rnacentral:rRNA from 1 species
UACGGAGGGUGCAAGCGUUUAUCCGGAUUUACUGGGUUUAAAGGGUGCGUAGGUGGGUCUGUAAGUCAGUGGUGAAAUCUCCGAGCUUAACUCGGAAACUGCCAUUGAUACUAUAGAUCUUGAAUAUCCUGGAGGUGAGCGGAAUAUGUCAUGUAGCGGUGAAAUGCUUAGAUAUGACAUAGAACACCAAUUGCGAAGGCAGCUCACUACUGGAUCAUUGACACUGAGGCACGAAAGCGUGGGGAUCAAACAGG